rnacentral:tRNA from 1 species
AGUAAGAUAGGAUAAAAAGUCUAUUAGGUUCAUACCCUAAAGGUGUUAAUCUCUUAUUA